CAGCAGCCGCGGUAAUACGAAGGGUGCAAGCGUUAAUCGGAAUUACUGGGCGUAAAGCGUGCGUAGGCGGUGAGCUAAGUCUGCUGUGAAAUCCCCGGGCUCAACCUGGGAAUGGCAGUGGAUACUGGCUCGCUAGAGUGUGUCAGAGGAUGGUGGAAUUCCCGGUGUAGCGGUGAAAUGCGUAGAGAUCGGGAGGAACAUCAGUGGCGAAGGCGGCCAUCUGGGACAACACUGACGCUGAGGCACGAAAGCGUGGGGAGCAAACAGGAUUAGAUACCCCGGUAGUCCCUGUCUCUUAUAC
rnacentral:rRNA from 1 species